CCUACGGGUGGCAGCAGUGGGGAAUAUUGCACAAGGGGGGAAACCCUGAUGCAGCGACGCCGCGUGAGUGAGGAAGGAUUUCGGGAUGUAAAGCUCUAGCAGCAGGGAAGAAAAGGACGGUACCUGACUAAGAAGCCCCGGCUAACUACGUGCCAGCAGCCGCGGUAAUACGUAGGGGGAAAGCGUUAUCCAGAUUUACGGGGUGUAAAGGGAGCGUAGACGGCUAAUCAAGUCAGAAGUGAAAACCCAGGGCUCAACUUUGGGACUGCUUUUGAAACUGAGUAGCUAGAGUGCAGGAGAGUUAAGCGGACUUCCUAGUGUAGCGGUUAAAUGCGUAGAUAUUAGGAGGCACCCCAGUGGCGCAGGCGUCUUACUGGACUGUAACUGACGUUGAGGCUCGAACGCGUGGGGAGCAAACCGGAUUAGCUACCCUAGUAGUC
rnacentral:rRNA from 1 species